rnacentral:lncRNA from 1 species
CUAAAUCAACUAAUGUUUCUUGAUAAAACGAUAAAUAAAUCUGAUUAUUCUUUAAGUGAAUAUUCAUAUGAUGCAUUGAAAUGAAAAAUAUAUGAUUCAUCUAUUUAAUUUGGGAGUUGUUUAAUUUUUUUGCAUAUUUUAUGCCCCUUUCCAAUUGGGGGAGAUUACAGGUGUGGAUGCAACCAGUUCCAACCACAGGCUGCAUCCACACCUGUGGAGGUGGGCUGGAUGUGAUGGACAAGGAUGGCCAGGGCCAGCAUCCCAAAAAAACUUUUCAGGAGUUACCAGACCCAGUACACGAAUUCAGGUCCUCCUGCAUGGCACGCCAACAGCAUUACCACUCAGCCAUCCAUCCUAAUUUUGGAGAUUAAGAACAG